rnacentral:rRNA from 1 species
GAUAAACGCUGGCGGCGCACAUAAGACAUGCAAGUCGAACGGACUUAAUUCGAAUGUUUACAUUUGAAAGCGGUUAGUGGCGGACUGGUGAGUAACACGUAAGCAACCUGCCUGUUAGAGGGGAAUAACAGUGAGAAAUCAUUGCUAAUACCGCAUAUGCCAUAAUCAUCACAUGAUGAUAGUGGGAAAGGAGUAAUCCGCUAACAGAUGGGCUUGCGUCUGAUUAGAUAGUUGGUGGGGUAACGGCCUACCAAGUCGACGAUCAGUAGCCGGACUGAGAGGUUGAACGGCCACAUUGGGACUGAGAUACGGCCCAGACUCCUACGGGAGGCAGCAGUCGGGAAUAUUGCACAAUGGAGGAAACUCUGAUGCAGUGACGCCGCGUGCAGGAAGAAGGUUUUAGGAUUGUAAACUGCUUUAGACAGGGGAANAAACAAGACAGUACC